rnacentral:rRNA from 1 species
GAUUAAUAGUUAAAUUCUUUAAAGUUAAAUAAUUUGGCGGUAUUUUAGUCUUUUCAGAGGAACCUGCUCUAUAAUUGAUAAUCCACGAUUGAUUAAACUUUAGUUAGAAAUUUUCAUAUCGUCGUUUAAAAUAUUUUAAAAGAAAAAUAUUUAAAAUUAAAAUAUUUAAUUAAGUCAGAUCAAGAUGUAGUUUAUAUUAAAGAAGAAGUGGGUUACAAUAAAAAUAAUUUUUGGAUUUUAUAUUUAAAAUAUAAAUAAAAUUGGAUUUGAAAGUAAUUAUUUAACUUUUAUAUAAUGAUUAAGCUCUAAAAUAUGU